GAGUUUGAUCAUGGCUCAGGAUGAACGCUAGCGGCAGGCUAACACAUGCAAGUCGAGGGGCAGCACAGGUAGCAAUACUUGGUGGCGACCGGCGCAAGGGUGCGUAACGCGUGAGCAACAUGCCCGUAUCAGGGGGAUAAUCCAGGGAAACUUGGUCUAAUACCCCAUAGUAAGUUUUUGAGGCAUCUCAAGGAUUUUAAAGCUUUGGUGGAUACGGAUUGGCUCGCGUGACAUUAGCUAGAUGGUAAGGUAACGGCUUACCAUGGCUACGAUGUCUAGGGGUUCUGAGAGGAAGGUCCCCCACACUGGAACUGAGACACGGUCCAGACCCCUACGGGAGGCAGCAGUGAGGAAUAUUGGACAAUGGAUGGAAAUCUGAUCCAGCCAUGCCGCGUGCAGGAAGACGGCCCUAUGGGUUGUAAACUGCUUUUGUAUGGGAGCAAUAAGAUCUACGUGUAGAUUGAUGAGAGUACCAUACGAAUAAGCACCGGCUAACUCCGUGCCAGCAGCCGCGGUAAUACGGAGGGUGCAAGCGUUAUCCGGAUUUAUUGGGUUUAAAGGGUGCGUAGGCGGUUUGAUAAGUCAGCGGUGAAAUAUUUCAGCUUAACUGGAAGGGUGCCGUUGAUACUGUCAGGCUUGAAUUUAGUUGCUGUGGGUGGAAUGUGUGGUGUAGCGGUGAAAUGCAUAGAUAUCACACAGAAUAUCGAUUGCGAAGGCAGCUCACAAAGCUAAUAUUGACGCUGAUGCACGAAAGUGUGGGGAUCAAACAGGAUUAGAUACCCUGGUAGUCCACACUGUAAACGAUGAUAACUCGCUGUCGGCGAUACACAGCCGGUGGCCAAGCGAAAGCGAUAAGUUACCCACCUGGGGAGUACGACCGCAAGGUUGAAACUCAAAGGAAUUGAC
rnacentral:rRNA from 1 species